rnacentral:rRNA from 1 species
UGCCUACGGGAGGCAGCAGUGAGGAAUAUUGGUCAAUGGACGAGAGUCUGAACCAGCCAAGUAGCGUGAAGGAUGACUGCCCUAUGGGUUGUAAACUUCUUUUAUAAAGGAAUAAAACGAGGCACGUGUGCCUUUUUGCAUGUACUUUAUGAAUAAGGAUCGGCUAACUCCGUGCCAGCAGCCGCGGUAAUACGGAGGAUGCGAGCGUUAUCCGGAUUUAUUGGGUUUAAAGGGUGCGCAGGCGGAAUGUCAAGUCAGCGGUAAAAUUUCGGGGCUCAACCCCGUCGUGCCGUUGAAACUGGCGU